GAGAGUACCCGCAGAAAAAGCAUCGGCUAACUCCGUGCCAGCAGCCGCGGUAAUACGGAGGAUGCGAGCGUUAUCCGGAUUUAUUGGGUUUAAAGGGUGCGUAGGCGGAUUUUUAAGUCAGCGGUAAAAUGUCCGGGCUCAACCCGGGCCGACCGUUGAAACUGGGGAUCUUGAGUGGGCGAGAAGUAUGCGGAAUGCGUGGUGUAGCGGUGAAAUGCAUAGAUAUCACGCAGAACUCCGAUUGCGAAGGCAGCAUACCGGCGCCCGACUGACGCUGAGGCACGAAAGCGUGGGGAUCGAACAGGAUUAGAUACCCUGGUAGUCCACGCAGUAAACGAUGAAUGCUAGUUGUCCGGUUCUUGGGACUGG
rnacentral:rRNA from 1 species